GAUCUCGUAGCUCAAUUGGAUAGAGCAUGGGUUUUCUAAACCCAGGGUUACAGGUUCGAUUCCUGUCGAGGUCACGA
rnacentral:tRNA from 1 species